rnacentral:rRNA from 1 species
UACGUAGGGCGCAAGCGUUGUCCGGAAUUAUUGGGCGUAAAGAGCUCGUAGGCGGUGUGUCGCGUCGGAUGUGAAAGCCCGGGGCUUAACCCCGGGUCUGCAUUCGAUACGGGCAGACUGGAGUGUGGUAGGGGGAGAUCGGAAUUCCUGGUGUAGCGGUGAAAUGCGCAGAUAUCAGGAGGAACACCGAUGGCGAAGGCAGGUCUCUGGGCAUUAACUGACGCUGAGGAGCGAAAGCAUGGGGAGCGAACAGG